GCGGCAGCGCCGCGCCCACAGACUCGGUCCCCGUGCCCGUCCCGCCGGGGCCGAGCAGGUGCGCGCCCAGCGGGGCUGUCCCGCGCGGCCCUUGUGCAGCUGCAGCGCCAGCGCUCGGUAACCGGCACAGCCACCCGGGCAACGCCUACUGCGUUGUGAGGGCCGUGCCGUGGGCCGGGGUCUGCGGGGCCGCUGCCCUGCCCGGCCGUGCCCGGCUGGCAGCGCGGGCAGCGGGAGCGGUUCGUGAGGGGAAUGAGGCGGGAUUUUGCGAGAGGGGGAAGCUGUCGGAGAUGGGGUCUCUGCGCGCCAGCUUCGUUUUCCGCGCCAUCAACGUUGUGAGGGCCGCCCUCCUGUGCUUUUGGGAGGGUGCAAGUCUCUGUAGUUUUUGAUGGAAGCUAGUUCACUACUGCACUGCACCUGGUCUUCCUAACGUGAGAUUAUCAGGUAAAAUCUGUAUUUCUGUGCACUGCAGCAGAUGCAUUUUGGAGCCAUAAUGUGUCACUACCAGUGUUGAACAUAGCUGCCACUAGAACGUGCAGGACAUGGGAAACUGGUUUUAUUACAUAACUGUAGAUUUGUGUGCAGCUGGGUCCUAACUGGGCAAAACAGCUGCUGUAGGAUAUAAAAGGAUUAAACUGUCUGGGUUACAUGCCUAACAUUUUGCUAAAUAUUUUAUGUAGCAUCAUCUGGCACACGUUAAUUAUGUUGUAUUAUUACUGUUUUAGAAAACAGUAGUUAUAAAUAAGUAGAUGUUUUUUCCUGCUGCUUUGAACUUGGAGCAGAAUGUUAAUGGUAUCAGCAGCAUGUUAAGUUUACUAUUUACCAUUAAGCAAAAGCCUAAACAAUUAGAAGUAAUGCUGUCUUUCAAAGGACCCUUGUCAGCAGGAGGUGACACCUGAAGGUCCCUGCUGAAGUACAUUCUGAGAAUCUGCAAUAAAUUGGCUGAUGGCAGCUUUUACUGUGCACUGAAGAGUAGUUUAACUGGAAAGCUAAAUGCCAAAUUAAACCUGGAUAAAAAUAGCCAGCUGCUCAGUUCUAUUUGUAAAAUGAGAAAUGUUCUAAAACCUUUGUGAAGCUGAAUUUUCUCCAGAUUAAAGCCAGUGAAGGGUACUCUUAAAUCCAGUAACUUCAGUGGGUUUUCAUAUUGUAGUAGAAAUGACUGCAAUUAAAACUUGAAAAUUAGGAUCAUUUUUACUGCAGAAAAACGUAGCAGAAAGCACUCUUUAAAGAAAAUUAAAGACAUUUAAGUAAGUAUUAGGACCUCCACCAGUCUAAAACAAAACAAUUUCUCUCAUGUAUGAAGUAUUUGAGUGCACCACCUUCUUGGACUUACAUGUCUUGUAUACUGAGCUGUGUUAUCCAUGUAUCACAGUCCUGAGGCCUCUCAAACCACUGAAGACCUUUCAAUCAUUAUUAUAUUAUAUUCAUUUUCACAACACAUUGGAGAAGUAUUUCUUCCUAAUUUUAAGGUUAUGAAGAGAAAGAAUAAAUAAUUACCUUGGAAAUACAUAAGAAACCAGAAGUAGCUGUCAAAUUUAACAUCAGGAGUUUUUUGUUGUCUCUUAAUUUGGAUGCCUUUGUAGCUGACAAGUAAAGUAUUUGGAUGAAGAGGGAAGCAUACCUGAAGGAGAUCAUAUAAGAAGCAGUCUUGGAAGUUAAUUUGACUUUAUUUGAACAGAAUACAGUCACCUAGAAAACAAGCUAACUAUUCUUAAACACUGACAGAUGCAAGAGACAGCACAGGUAAUUAUUGGAGAAGCAGUAGUUUCAUUAUCUCUUAAACUACUUAGAAUAACAAACCACAUUACAAUUUCUUAGGACAAUCUAUUUGUGAAUAUUUGCAUAUUUGCCCUAACAAGUUCUAUCAUGCACUCUAGUGAGAUAUAAGCUAACCAGUUUUUUAAGUUUAUAAACAUCAUAUUAUGCAAACAAUUUUAAGUAAAUACUUUAACCUAAUUUGAAAAAUCUGUCACCUUCCACAGCACCACAUGAAGAUCUUGUUUUAAAAUAACAUUAAAUCCACAGCAAUAGCUAAAUAUUUUAAAUACUUAUGUAUUACACUGUAAACUCUACAUAAACACUACGUACACCCAAAAAAACAUACAAAGAACAGGAAGAUCAUUUUGAUUAGCAAAGAUACCUCAAAUGUAUCGCCAGAAUCAUUUUUCUGUUCUUACGACUUAUCCCCAAACCACUCCCAGAAAAGGCACAGUUGGUGGUGAUUUUUUUUUUCUUUUUUUAACACACAAAGCCAGAAUCAAUACAGUAGGCCAAUGCAGUCAAACACUGCUCUUAUUUCUAGGAAGAACAGGAAAGAAACUUGCAUUAGUGUCCAGAUGGCUCAGGAAGAUUCUAAUAAUGAAAGAUCUCCAGCAUCUGCUUACUGCCCUAGGCUCAAAUGCAGAAAUGAAUCCCAAAUUAAAUUUCGGUUAGGAGAACUUGGCUGUACAUCUUGGACAUGACUGCCAGCUAGAGUUACUUGCUUAUUCCAGUACUGGGGCUCAGCUCACAAUCAGCUAUUGAUGGCACGCAGGAGAGAUGAUGGUUUUUCAAAUUAAAUUGGUAAUUACUGUUCAAAGAUUAUACUCAUGAAGUAUUAGACAAUACUUCUUCCACUUGGUACAAACAAAACCUUUAAAUAAUAGAUCUUUUAAAACUUAUUACAAGGCUUCAAUAUAUUUAUUAAAGUCAUUCCAACUUUUUAUAAUUACAGUAUCUAAAAAGUUCUCCUUUACCAGCAAAUGAUGCCAUGUUUGGCAAGAAAAUGGUAUUGGUAAUUUUUUAAACCAAAAUAUGCAUAUAUGAGUUAUCCCCAUUUUUUUAGAAAAAAAUGCUUCUAAGAAAAAUAUUUUACUAAGUCUAUAUUCUAAGAUAUAAUACUUAUACUAUUACACUAAACAAACUGCCUUUUAUGAACUAUAUACAUUGAUGAACAGUCUCAGAUGCACUAAGUUUCCCAGAAGACAGAAAGCAUUGCUGGAAUCUAUCAAGUAUUGUUGCAAGGAAUCUUUGAGAAGUGAGAAAAAACUCCAUUUUGGCAUUGCUGCUUUUAGAGCAUAUUCCAAGUACUUGUGUAACCAUCAUCAGCGAUCCAGAAAUCUGCAAAAGAUGCUGAGAUGUUGCAUUCAUGGUAUCAAAAAAUAGAAAGAUUCAGCACUGAAUUUUUACAUGAAACGGAGCCUGAGGUAUUUAUACAAUCCUUUGUAAUGGAGAUGAAAUAUUACCCAUUGCAUGUUGUCUGCAACUAUUCAGGACUUGUUAUAUGAAAUACCAUUCCUAUGUUGUUAUUUGGAAGACCUACUGUUGCACAAGGCCUAAAUAAGAACUUUUAUUAGCUAUAAAAUUGGCAUAUUAACAAAGUGCUAUCUAAGGUCAGUGCUAAAGACUGAAGCAGUUGGGCUGCACCAAGGCUUAAGAGAAUGACCAAGCAGGUCCUGCAGAGAACCCCCAGCCUCCCCCUUCUCUGUACAGAGGCUGCCAGAGUAAGUGCAGGAGAACUACACAAGACAUCUUGAGGCAGAUUCCUUCCCUCUGCUCUCCACAGUGACUCUUACAGCAGUGAGCUCAAAAAUGGGUUCAGUUGGAAGGAAGGGUCAUUUCUGGCCAUGUUGACAAAGUACAUUUUAGUGAAAAAUGUCUGAGAUGGAUUAAACCAACAAAACAGUGUAUGGAUUCACUCCGUUUCUUUAAAUGGUCAUAUUAAAUCCUGUAUCCAUCAAAUAUCCUUUGGGGUAAGAAAACCAAACCAACCUACAAGAGCAAUACAAUCCAGGGUGGGCACAAAUGAACUCGAUCACUGCUGUUAUGGUUUGAAAUUUAGCAAGGCCUCACUUUUAACCACUCAGGUUUUUCACUUGGCUUUUGCUAUCUGAAUGGGUGCACAGUAAUUUUCAGUAACUUUUUUUUUUGUUCAUUCCAGAUCACUUUUUUUUUUCAGAAGUAGAUGAGUUUUUUCCUAAUCUGAUAAUCAUACUUUUUUUUGCAUUCAGUAUAGGGGAAAGCUGGACAAAAAUGACUGAUUCCUAAUUAAUGCACAAUUAAUUGGUGGUUAACUGGUUAGUUUUUUUGACUGGUGUAUCAGAGAAGGGAAUCAAAUUCACUGGGGAAGUAUCUGCAACACUCAACUAAACAUAAAACAUCUUAAUUUCCUUUCAGGAUAAAAUGUGAAGUAAUCAACA